rnacentral:rRNA from 1 species
UACACUCCUACGGGAGGCAGCAGUGGGGAAUUUUGGACAAUGGGCGAAAGCCUGAUCCAGCCAUGCCGCGUGCAGGAUGAAGGCCUUCGGGUUGUAAACUGCUUUUGUACGGAACGAAACGGCCUUUUCUAAUAAAGAGGGCUAAUGACGGUACCGUAAGAAUAAGCACCGGCUAACUACGUGCCAGCAGCCGCGGUAAUACGUAGGGUGCAAGCGUUAAUCGGAAUUACUGGGCGUAAAGCGUGCGCAGGCGGUUAUGUAAGACAGUUGUGAAAUCCCCGGGCUCAACCUGGGAACUGCAUCUGUGACUGCAUAGCUAGAGUACGGUAGAGGGGGAUGGAAUUCCGCGUGUAGCAGUGAAAUGCGUAGAUAUGCGGAGGAACACCGAUGGCGAAGGCAAUCCCCUGGACCUGUACUGACGCUCAUGCACGAAAGCGUGGGGAGCAAACAGGAUUAGAUACCCUAGUAGUCCCAUGAU